rnacentral:rRNA from 1 species
GACAGAGGGUGCAAACGUUGUUCGGAAUUACUGGGCGUAAAGGGCUCGUAGGCGGCCAACUAAGUCAGACGUGAAAUCCCUCGGCUUAACCGGGGAACUGCGUCUGAUACUGGAUGGCUCGAGUUUGGGAGAGGGAUGCGGAAUUCCAGGUGUAGCGGUGAAAUGCGUAGAUAUCUGGAGGAACACCGGUGGCGAAGGCGGCAUCCUGGACCAACACUGACGCUGAUGAGCGAAAGCCAGGGGAGCAAACGGG